GAACGACCUCCCGCGCCCGGGAGGCAUAAAUACUAUGGGUGGUGGCGAUGAAGCUGUGUCCGCUGCCAGCGACACGACAUCCGCCGAUGGAGUCAAAGUCAACGUCAACAUUCGAUGCUCCAAUGGUUCCAAGUUUUCUGUUCUCGUUAGCCUCGAUUCUACCGUUGGAUCCUUUAAAUCCAUCCUUGCCGACCAGAGCGAGGUUCCCGCCGAUCAGCAGCGCCUGAUUUACAAGGGUCGGAUUUUGAAAGAUGAUCAAACCCUACAAAGCUACGGGUUAGAGGCAGAUCACACCGUACAUUUGGUUCGUGGGUCGGCACCUGCUGCCUCGCCGACCAAUCCUGCAACUGCUCUCAAUGCUGGCGG
rnacentral:misc_RNA from 1 species